CUUAUGUCAACUAUUAUAGGACAUGGGGGAAAAAAUAAAAAAUCUGUUUAAUGUCAAUACAUCUUCAAUUCAAGCAAUUACUACUUAUGAAAGUCUAGUAAAUUUAUAUCCAUUACAUAGAAACGAAUAACAAAUAAAAAAUAAAAAACAAGAAAAAAAAAUCAGAUUUCAAUCAAAAUCAAUUCCCGCAUUCUGAUUGGGAAGAUAAUCAGCCCACAUUAAAUCAGCAAUCGCAUUCCUCUUAUUAGACCACACUUCCUGAUUUGUGAAAGAUAUGUGAGCAUUUGGAGUUUCAUCUUCCGGUACAUCAAUAUGCGUAGGGUUAACCUCAUCAUCACUACUAUAUAAGUCGUCCUCCUCACAAACAUCAACGUCAUCAAUCUUUAAGAAGUUGUGGAUGACAGAAUAGGCAAGGACUAUCUUUCUUGUGCGUCAAUGUCGUGAUAGGGUGGAUGUCUCAAAUAUGCAAAUCUUUUUUUCAGCAAACCAAUUGUACGCUCAAUAACAUUGUGUAGAGAUGAAUAUCGAAAAUUGAACAAUUCCUUACUACUUUCAGGACGUUGACCUUCAAUGUCUCUACGAUGAUAACGAGUCAUACAAUAUGGUGCAAGAAAACCCGAAACCGAUGGGAAGCCAGCGUCAACAAGGUAAUAAUUACAUAAGAAAGAGUCGUUCAUAAGAUGAUAGUUAGGUAAUUAUAACUUAUGUGUGGAAGAAAUGUUUUCAAAAUAGUGACACAACUUACCAAUAGGAAUUGUUAGCUUAUGUCCUUGGCGUAAUAUUGCACUCCGUAACAAUCGACCGUCAUGUGCAGAUCCCUCCCAACCGGCAAGCACGUACGUAAAUUUCAUAUCAAAUGUACAAGCUACGAAAACAUUUUGGGAAAUCACUUGCUUUCUAUUGCGAUAUUUACCUUGUUUCUCUAAAGGCACAUACGCAGCUAUAUGUGUACCAUCGAUUGCUCCUACGGCAUCCUUUAAAAAACAAUACUUUUCAAAAUGAAUGUAAAUAUUGAAGUUUUAAGAAAUGUGAUGAAAUAACUACAAACCACUAACCUAAAAAAAGGAGUACCAUGGUUGCACAUUUUCUUUUUCGUAUGGUGAGUUAUGAAGAGUGGCAUUAAUCACAACAUCUCUAUACAGUCCAAGACAAGUGUGUAAGACUCUGUGAAAGUAAAAGCUCACUGUUUGACCAGAGCGAAAGAAAGUAAAAUGUCUAGCGCGAUUACGUUGGUCAUGCCCGACUGUAUUCAGAAAAAUUGCGACUUGUUCCUCAAUUCAAACGUAUUUACCGUCAACCAAUCCAUAAGUUUGCAAACGAGCACAUAAUCUUUGAAAUGGACCUAUUUUCAUCCUAAGGAGAUCACGACAUAUUGUAUCACUCAUACUAAACAUUCGUGUAAGUGUUAUUUCUCUUUCAGAAUUCCAAUUUGUAUGAGGAGCUCUUGGAAGAUGUCGUGCAUGACGCCUAAGUUCGUUAUACAUCACAAUCGCUUGCAUGACCAUCGUCCAAAAUAUACCUAAAUGUUGUCGUCGGCAUCGACGUUGAUUCGUUGUUGUAGCCAUGUUAUAAACUACCACGUUAAAUAAAAAUUAAUAAAAAUUUGUUUAGAAAGAAUAACAUAAAAGCAUUAUAGAAUAAAAAGUUAACUGUAGCUACAUCAUAAUAGAAAUUCAUUGCAUGACCUUCCAAGCAUAAUGUCAACUGGUUAUAUUAGAAUUCUUAAAAUCAUUUUUUUCAGUUUCAUGCUUCCCUAACUCAUUCGCACCACAGUAAUCCCCCAAUUAAUAGAAUCAAGAACAUAAACCCAAGGACAUAAAUUGUUAAGCUACUUCUAAAUCUUCAACUAUCUCUCUAAUCAAAGAUUAAUAUUUGGUACAAUAAACUCUAAGCAAUAAAAUAACUGUCUUCAAUACAGUGAGAUGAUUAUAAACUAGAAAUGAUACAAUCUGCCUUAAAAUAUGUCAACGUCGUUAAAGAGUGACACGUUUAUUCACUUAAAUCUAGUCUUGAACAUGCCCUCACUCACACAAAAUGAAUUCAUUUUUUGUCAAAAGCCUCGUAUGUGCACAAGUUCAAUAAAUAGUGAUAGCAAAACUUGAUCCCAAGGAAUUUGCUUACUCCAAUACCAUGAUGAACCACUUCAUUUAAAAAUCAACCAUCACAGCACAAAAAGAUACUUUCAUACUAGAUAUAAAGGUAGACUGCUAAUUAGUUAUCAUCUCCUUUAAAGAAAAUUCCACAUUCAAAACACAAAUGAAUACUUAUCAAAUAUUGAGUAGUUGUGAAAAUCUGAUAGUGGACUAAAUCUCCACUUAGGAGUCUGUGCACUUCAAGAAUCAAAUUCACUAGGGACCAACAAUAGUUUAUUCACCAUACUGGGAGUAAGAUAGAGUGAAGUUUUGAAAUUAAGCAGCGGAUAGAAAUCUUUCCCAGAUAGACAAUAUUAAGGCUCACUGCAAUAGAGAAGAGAAUACUGAGAAUGAGGAAUUUUGGGGAAAUUUUCUGUAAUAUAGAUUCAAAAUGAAAUAAGUACUGUAAAUGAGAACUUAAUGGAAAUUACGAUUCUCCAUUCCCCUAAUUCUUACUUGAUUUCUUUCACAUCCCCUCCCCUCUCCUUACAUGUUUUAUUUAUACCCUUCCCCCAAGUAACUCUAACAAACUAACUAAUAGUCCCUAACAAUUUUACUGACUCAGCAUCCUUCUAGAGACUCCUAUUGAGCCCUGCUGUCAAGUUGUUGGCUUUCCCCACCAUGUGCUUGCUUGGCCUUCUUACAUCUUGUAUAUGUACCAUCGAAUUUCCUAUGCUCAAUCCAAUAAUUGAAAUCAAUGACACACGACCACCAAUAACAAAAGCAACACCGAAAAAUAAUACCAACCCGGACCACCGGCUUCCUAAUGAUUGAUGAACAAGGCUAGGCGAUCCAAUUUAUAGACAAUUAGAGGGGAUAUAAACGGCUAGAUAAACUUACCGUAUUGAUCUGAACGGUCAAAUUCGCGGUACAAUCCUUGUGGAAAUCGAAAACUUCAUAAGUCGGUGAGUUUUAGGAGGCGGUGAUUGUCAAAGUCAUCGAGAAAAUACCAUAAACCCAGAUUCUUGGAAUGAUUACCCAGAUCUGGAAGCAGAGAGUCGUCGAGUUCUUCCUCCCGGCUCGGUUGAAUUGAUGAGAGAGAGGGUAGUGAUUUGUAAGUGGGUAGAGAGAAGAGAGAGAGAUAUUUUAACGUAG
rnacentral:lncRNA from 1 species